rnacentral:lncRNA from 1 species
CUUUUGUUCAUUUGUUUGUUUGUUUUGCCUGGGUGACUAUCUGCAUGAUGGUAUCUGCUAGAGAUAGGGAAGUCAGAAGAAAGGGCCAAAUCACUGGAGAAAGAAAAUGCUUUACUUGGACAGUCUGGAUGGGAAGUUCCAGUGAGUCAUCCUGGUGGCAAUGACUGGCAGAUUGUUGGAAAUGGAGGAGCUAAAGCGAGAGAGGCUAAGAAUAGAGAUAUGGAUUUGGGAGUUAGUGGCAAAUAGAGUUAAACUAUGGGAAUGUAUAUGAUGGCCUGAGAAGAAAUUAUAGGAGAAGUAAGAAGGACUAAGGGCUGAGCCUGGGAGACAGGACAUGGAGGGGAAAGGCAGCUGAGAGGAGCCUUGAAGAAGACUGAAGAGGAAUAAUUGCUACUGAGGAGAAGCAAGGCAGUUCAGUGUGAUGGAUGCCAAAAGAUGGAGAAGUCAAGGAGGUGUUCCUUGUUCUGAAGAGGAGAAACAGUAAAAAAUUUGCCAAGGACCCAAGAUAGAAGACUGUGGGCCCAGAUCCUAAUGUAAAAGAAGCCUGCCUCAACUUAAUUUUCCUGGACAGCAAGAGCUAUGAAAAUGAACUGGGUGAAUAUUGGUGUUUUCAGCUUGAGGUUCCAAUGAAUUAGGACAAUCAGAAGGAAGAGUUUAAUUUUGGGGUCUAGCAUGAGACCAUUCAGUUCAAACUUUCAUUUCACAGUUAGGAAACUAGACCCAGAGAGGCACAGUGCUUCGGCUUGAUGCUAAUAGACUGAUUUUGGAAGGCAGUUGAGCUGGAAGACACAGAUCUGGGGGCUGUCAGCCAAGGGCUGAGAAGGAUGUGAAUUAAGAAGGUGGGAAGGGAAUUGAUGGUUAAGGCCUGAGUCUUGAGAGAAACCCAUGGCCAGGAGCAGAGGAGUUAAGAUUCAUUCAGAAAUGCUCCUACAGACGUGGGAGAACAAGGAUUGUUCAGUAUAAUGGAAGCCAAAGGAGAGGGUUUUGAGGAGCAAAAGACUAGCCAACAGUAGCAAUUGUGUCAAGGUGAUCAAGGAAUAAGAUGUAAACAAUUGUUGGAUUUAUAAUAUGAUUUUAAAAGUGCAGUUUCAGUAAAGUGGUAAGAAUGGGAGGACAAUCAAAUGGCACGUGGUGUGUGUGUGUGUGUGUGGAGGUUGUGGUGUGUGUGGGGGGGGAUGUAUGUGUGGAGAGUGUGGCAUGAGAUGCAUGUGCAUAUGUAUGUUUAGGAUGAGGUGUGUGUGGAGAGUGAGAUGUGUGUGUGUAGGAUAUGAGGUGUGUGAGCUGUGUGUGUGUGUGUGUGAUGUGUGUGUAGGGUGCAGUGUUGUGGUAUAUGUGUAUGUGUACAUGGUGUGGGGGGUGCAGGGUGUGUGUGUAUGUAGGAUGCGGUGUGUGUGGAGAGUGAGAUGUGUGUGUAGAGUGCAAUGUGUAUGGGGUGUUUGUAGGGUGCGCUGUACAUGUGGGCAGUGUGUGUGUAUUCUGACUGAAUGCUGAGCACUGGUGCUUGAGCUCUCCUGCCCUGCCUGGGAGGUGGUGUGUCUGAGGUGAGGGGAAGGCUGACCCAGCUGAUGGGUCCUGUGAGGCAGAGGUUGAGGAGGGAGCCAGAGAUGAGAACCAACAACAUGCUCCAGGAAGAGGGACAGGCGCAGAAGCAAGGGGACACCAGACUGGAACAGAUGGACUCAUGCAGUUGUUCCUUGAUGGCCUGUUCACAUAUAGCAUUUGCCAUGUCCCACAAAUGCAGAAUUCUGGUGGAACCACAGUGCGUGGAAGUUCCAGGAGACUGAAAGUGGUGCAAGGUUAAGUGUGUUACAUAUGUAAUUGAGUAAUCAGGGGUGCUGACAGCCCGACAGGCCAUGCCUUCCAUUCGAACCAGAGCUUGCUUCACAUAGAAAGAAAGCAAUGGCUUUCUAAGGAAUGUGGACAAGUGAGGAACCCUAUCAUAUCCUUCUUACUCAUUUCUUCCCUGUGUUAACCAACCACUUACGCUGAAAAUGAUGACACAGAAGAAAGGGAAAGACAGGACAACCCAUAGUUCCUUUUCCUUUCAGCCCUUCCUUACUCAUCAGUAAGCUGAAGGUCAAGAGUAUUGAUGGAACAUGCACGUUAUCAAGAAGUAAAAUUAAAACAGUUGAGUUAGUUUUGUGCAGUGUUCCCGCUGCUCUGGUAAGGACAAAAUAUAUACGCAAGUAAGAGCUAGGAAAUAUGAACUGUGUAAUUUCAAUGAUUCCACGUAUGAGUCAAAUGCACUUAUUUUCAUUUACAACUAACACUACACAACAUAAAGAAUAGUAAAAUUCAUACUAAUAAUUAAAUUUUAAAUUUUUCUUUACUUAAAAUGACAUUAAAUAUCAAAUUAAAAACAUCAUGACUAGUAAAAAAAAAUUGUGGAAGAAAGAAAAAGUUUUAUGCUUUGGUGACCCUUAAUGGCCUUAUUUCCCUCUGGUUUUUGAACAAGGAGCUCGAUAUUUUCAUUUUGUACUGGGCCCUGAAAAUUAUGUUACUGGCCCUGGGUGAGAUGGUUGUUUAUAUUUGUAUGACCAGGGUCAAAAAACAGUCUUGGAACCACAGGAGCAGGGAAGAUUCACCAAUAAAUUGAUGAACACAAGUCUUCAUCAUUACCCACACACACUCACUGGCCCCUCAACAUUGGUAACAAUGGCCAUGGGUGGAGAGUUAAGAAGAUGAUAACUCCCAGAAAACUAUGCUUUUUCUGCUGAUAACUCUUCAACAUCUCACCACACCCAAUAUCUCUGCUUUUGUUAACAAACCAUGAACUGCUUCAAGUUGUCAUACCCUUUCUCACUGUCUUUCUUCUGAUUGGAACGGCCUGGUGAGAGCAGGCUGGUGGGAACACACACCUUCCGAAAGGCCCUCACCACAGCAGAUCACUGCUGGCGUCCGAGCUACUUCCUGCUUGUCCUGUUGUGUCCUUCAUCAGUGACCGCACUCUUGGAGUGCUUGCCUCUGGCUCCUGUUUUCCACCCAUUUCUCAGCCUGGUAACUCCUGGUUUCCAGUCUUAGUGGGCCCACUGCUCUGCUCCCACCUCCUGUGAUAGGGUCGGGAGAGCCGCCAACCCCACUUGACUCCUGGACCCCAUCCAGGCUGUGGUAUGUGCCAGCACCAUCUUCCCAAAGGAUGCUGCCCCUCCCUGAGGCUCAUGGUAUAGCUCUUCUCCCAUAUUCAUACCCCCGUCUUGAAGCCUGGCCCACAUAGGGUUUCCAGAAAGCCUUCCCCGAACCACUAAUAGAAACCCUACUAUACUCACACCUUCCUUAAGAGAUACUUCACAAACCCAGUUUUGUGCGGUGCAAAGGGGAUGAAAUCAGAAAUAACAUAGGUUUAAAUCCUGGUUAACUAACUGAUUUUUGAGUCUGUCAAUAAACCUCUCUGUGCCUCAAUUUCCCCAUCUACAAAAACAGGAUUGUGAUACUUACCUCAUAGGAUCAUUGUGAGGAUUAUGAGAAAUAGCACAGGCAAAGCACCUAGGUGCUGCCUGGCAUGUCCCAGCACUCAGUAAAAGCUCCCCCAACACUUUUCUCCCCCUGCUGGGGUUGGGCACCAUGCCUUAUUCAUGCCUUUAUUCCUUGCAGCACCUAGAGUAACAUCUUGUGGCUGGCAGAUGAUCAAUGCCUGUGGAUUGAAUUAAAUUAAAACUUUCCUUGUGUUACACUGUUCUCUCCAUGUCCCCAGUUGUAAUAUCCUCUUAAAAGUAUCAUCGCUUGGCUGGGCACGGUGGCUCAUGCCUGUAAUCCCAGCACUUUGGGAGGCUGAGGCGGGUGGAUUACAAGGUCAGGAGAUCGAGACCAUCCUGGCUAACACGGUGAAACCCCGUCUGUACUAAAAAUACAAAAAAAAAAAAAAAAAUUAGCUGGGCGUGGUGGUGGGCGCCUGUAGUCCCAGCUACUCGGGAGGCUGAGGCAGAAGAAUGGCAUGAACCCGGGAGGGGGAGCUUGCAGUGAGCCGAGAUCGCGCCACUGCACUCCAGCAUGGGCAACAGAGUGAGACUCCGUGUCAAAAACAAACAAAAAAAAGUAUCAUUGCUCAGCUUAUAAGUUCUACUUCAUGUUACUGCAGAUUGUGACCCCCAAAUGAAGUAACUUUUGCUGUUCCUUCUUAUUAAAAAUAAUACAUGCUCAAUAUAUAAAUAAAAAUACAAGCAAAAAGAGUAUUAAAAAGUCUGAUAAUUCUACCCACACAGACAUAGCUAGUAUUAACAUCUCUCCAUUAGCUUUUCAAUGCAAUGCAGCUAUUAUAUCUAUGUGUGUGCAUGUAUACAUGUAUGUAUAAUAUUUUGCUGAGGGAGGAAGGUGGAAAUAGCAUAUUAAGAGAGGGAUGUGGGCUUUAGAAUAGAAAAAAUUCAGCAAGCCUGUGCUCUGUGAGUGUGAAAAUAACCACUGGUGUCUACUUAGAUUCAGUAGGGUGGGAGUCUUGCUGGAAAUGCUUUUUAAAUUUCUAGUGCCAUAAUCUUUCUUUCAUCCAAAGAGGAAAAAAUGAGUCUUUACGUAUUUUUUAAUGUAGCGAUAAUUAUCAUUCAUCAGCAUACUGCACACUCUUUAUUUGGGUGUUUAUUAAGGAUCUAUUUCAUGCCAGACGCUGGAGUUGGCACUAAAAACAAGGAUACGGUUACUGCUCUCAGUGAGUUUUCAGUCUGGUGGGGGACACACAUGAGAAAUAGCACAGGCAAAGCCCCUGGGUGCUGCCUGGCAUGUCCCAGCACUCAAUAAAAGCUCCCCCCAACACUUUUCUC